rnacentral:rRNA from 1 species
GAUGAACGCUGGCGGCGUGCUUAACACAUGCAAGUCGAACGGAAAGGCUCCUGCUUGCAGGGGUACUCGAGUGGCGAACGGGUGAGUAACACGUGGGUGAUCUGCCCUGCACUUCGGGAUAAGCCUGGGAAACUGGGUCUAAUCCCGGAUAGGACGAUGGUUUGGAUGCCACUGUGGAAAGUUUUUUCGGUGUGGGAUGAGCUCGCGGCCUAUCAGCUUGUUGGUGGGGUAAUGGCCUACCAAGGCGUCGACGGGUAGCCGGCCUGAGAGGGUGUACGGCCACAUUGGGACUGAGAUACGGCCCAGACUCCUACGGGAGGCAGCAGUGGGGAAUAUUGCACAAUGGGCGCAAGCCUGAUGCAGCGACGCCGCGUGGGGGAUGACGGCCUUCGGGUUGUAAACUCCUUUCGCUGGACGAAGCGCAAGUGACGGUACCUGGAGAAGAAGCACCGGCUAACUACGUG